GAUGAACGCGUGGCGGCGUGCUUAACACAUGCAAGUCGAACGGUGAAGCAGGAGCUUGCUCUUGUGGAUCAGUGGCGGACGGGUGAGUAACACGUGGGUAACCUGCCCAUAAGAGGGGGAUAACAUUCGGAAACGGAUGCUAAUACCGCAUAUUUCUAAUCGUCUCCUGACGAAUGGAAGAAAGGUGGCUUCGGCUACCGCUUAUGGAUGGACCCGCGGCGUAUUAGCUAGUUGGUGAGGUAAUGGCUCACCAAGGCGAUGAUACGUAGCCGACCUGAGAGGGUGAUCGGCCACACUGGGACUGAGACACGGCCCAG
rnacentral:rRNA from 1 species